rnacentral:rRNA from 1 species
CCUACGGGCGGCAGCAGUAGGGAAUUUUCGGCAAUGGGGGGAACCCUGACCGAGCAACGCCGCGUGAACGAAGAAGUUAUUCGUAAUGUAAAGUUCUUUUAACAGGGAAGAAAGAGAAAUUUGACGGUACCUGAAGAAUAAGCUCCGGCGAACUACGUGCCAGCAGCCGCGGUAAUACGUAGGGAGCGAGCGUUAUCCGGAAUUAUUGGGCGUAAAGGGUGCGUAGAUGGCAUGGUAAUUCUGUUGUAAAAAUGCUGGGCUAAACCCAGUAGGGCAAAAGAUACUGCAAAGCUAGAGUAUUGCAGAGGCAAGUGGAACUGCUUGUGUAGCGGUAAAAUGCGGAAAUAUAUCUAAGAACACCCAUGGUGAAGG